rnacentral:lncRNA from 1 species
UUUUAUUCAAAUAAAACAUAAAUGUAAAAUGUUUCUCUUUAUAAAACAUAAACUGAAAUAUAUAUAUUUGUUUUCACCUUCUCUUCUCUUUUCCUUCAAGAUUACUUGAUUCAACUUCUUUAAGUUCAAGCCAAGCGGCGAUACCUGCUAAAGGGACGUUCAAGUAAGAUUUUAAUCAAUGAACUUAGUUCACAAUUAAAUAUUAAAACUCAAUUAAGCUAAUUUUACCGCGGUAGCUUAUCUCUAUAUUUAUAGAAUUUUAUAAUGGACUUUAAGUUGAUAUUAGCCCAAUAAUAUUAAUGUCUGCAUUUAUCCAAUUGUAGCCCAACAUCCACAUGCCCAUUUCACCCCCUUAACUUAUAAUUUAAAACAAAUAAACCGAACAACAUGAAUAUCUUUCCCACACCAUUUAGUUAGUACAACAUUUUCGUCUUCGGCAUUGCCUUAUCGCAUAGCCUACCCACCGGAUCAUACGCUAUACCAUAUACAUGCCCCCA